rnacentral:lncRNA from 1 species
UUUGGAAGUUCUUUGACUUUACCAAUAAUUUAAUUAUGCAAAUAUAAUAUAGUUACAACAAUAACAUUAUGUGAAACAACUCUUGAUUGCAAAACUAACAAAAAGGACAUAUUGGCAACAGAAUAAUAGUUAUGCAUCAUUGACACAAAAAAAAAAUAGUUAUGCCUCUCUCCCAAACCAUUUGAUACAACAAGCGGCAAUACCCAAGAUGCUGAAGGCCGCCACAAAGAAAAGGACGACGAUUAAGUGUAUUGUAUCCAUUUCCCUCUUUUUCUUUGUUCACCAAACUUUUCAGUCUUUGUUAGUUUUCUUCUCUUCUUCUUUUAGCCUACUAAUCAAUUAUACAUAUAAAUAUAUAUAUGUAUUUAUACAUGUAUGUUCA